UUAAGUUAUUAAGGGCGCACGGUGGAUGCCUUGGCACUAGAAGCCGAUGAAGGACGUUACUAACGACGAUAUGCUUUGGGGAGCUGUAAGUAAGCUUUGAUCCAGAGAUUUCCGAAUGGGGAAACCCAACAUGAGUUAUGUCAUGUUAUCGAUAUGUGAAUACAUAGCAUAUCAGAAGGCACACCCGGAGAACUGAAACAUCUUAGUACCCGGAGGAAGAGAAAGAAAAUUCGAUUCCCUUAGUAGCGGCGAGCGAAACGGGAAGAGCCCAAACCAACAAGCUUGCUUGUUGGGGUUGUAGGACACUCUAUACGGAGUUACAAAGGACGACAUUAGACGAAUCAUCUGGAAAGAUGAAUCAAAGAAGGUAAUAAUCCUGUAGUCGAAAAUGUUGUCUCUCUUGAGUGGAUCCUGAGUACGACGGAGCACGUGAAAUUCCGUCGGAAUCUGGGAGGACCAUCUCCUAAGGCUAAAUACUCUCUAGUGACCGAUAGUGAACCAGUACCGUGAGGGAAAGGUGAAAAGCACCCCGGAAGGGGAGUGAAAUAGAACCUGAAACCGUGUGCUUACAAGUAGUCAGAGCCCGUUAAUGGGUGAUGGCGUGCCUUUUGUAGAAUGAACCGGCGAGUUACGAUUUGAUGCAAGGUUAAGCAGUAAAUGUGGAGCCGUAGCGAAAGCGAGUCUGAAUAGGGCGUUUAGUAUUUGGUCGUAGACCCGAAACCAGGUGAUCUACCCUUGGUCAGGUUGAAGUUCAGGUAACACUGAAUGGAGGACCGAACCGACUUACGUUGAAAAGUGAGCGGAUGAACUGAGGGUAGCGGAGAAAUUCCAAUCGAACCUGGAGAUAGCUGGUUCUCUCCGAAAUAGCUUUAGGGCUAGCCUCAAGUGAUGAUUAUUGGAGGUAGAGCACUGUUUGGACGAGGGGCCCCUCUCGGGUUACCGAAUUCAGACAAACUCCGAAUGCCAAUUAAUUUAACUUGGGAGUCAGAACAUGGGUGAUAAGGUCCGUGUUCGAAAGGGAAACAGCCCAGACCACCAGCUAAGGUCCCAAAAUAUAUGUUAAGUGGAAAAGGAUGUGGCGUUGCCCAGACAACUAGGAUGUUGGCUUAGAAGCAGCCAUCAUUUAAAGAGUGCGUAAUAGCUCACUAGUCGAGUGACACUGCGCCGAAAAUGUACCGGGGCUAAACAUAUUACCGAAGCUGUGGAUUGUACUUUGGACAAUGGUAGGAGAGCGUUCUAAGGGCGUUGAAGCAUGAUCGUAAGGACAUGUGGAGCGCUUAGAAGUGAGAAUGCCGGUGUGAGUAGCGAAAGACGGGUGAGAAUCCCGUCUACCGAUUGACUAAGGUUUCCAGAGGAAGGCUCGUCCGCUCUGGGUUAGUCGGGUCCUAAGCUGAGGCCGACAGGCGUAGGCGAUGGAUAACAGGUUGAUAUUCCUGUACCACCUAUAAUCGUUUUAAUCGAUGGGGGGACGCAGUAGGAUAGGCGAAGCGUGCGAUUGGAUUGCACGUCUAAGCAGUAAGGCUGAGUAUUAGGCAAAUCCGGUACUCAUUAAGGCUGAGCUGUGAUGGGGAGAAGACAUUGUGUCUUCGAGUCGUUGAUUUCACACUGCCGAGAAAAGCCUCUAGAUAGAAAAUAGGUGCCCGUACCGCAAACCGACACAGGUAGUCAAGAUGAGAAUUCUAAGGUGAGCGAGCGAACUCUCGUUAAGGAACUCGGCAAAAUGACCCCGUAACUUCGGGAGAAGGGGUGCUCUUUAGGGUUAACGCCCAGAAGAGCCGCAGUGAAUAGGCCCAAGCGACUGUUUAUCAAAAACACAGGUCUCUGCUAAACCGUAAGGUGAUGUAUAGGGGCUGACGCCUGCCCGGUGCUGGAAGGUUAAGAGGAGUGGUUAGCUUCUGCGAAGCUACGAAUCGAAGCCCCAGUAAACGGCGGCCGUAACUAUAACGGUCCUAAGGUAGCGAAAUUCCUUGUCGGGUAAGUUCCGACCCGCACGAAAGGCGUAACGAUUUGGGCACUGUCUCAACGAGAGACUCGGUGAAAUCAUAGUACCUGUGAAGAUGCAGGUUACCCGCGACAGGACGGAAAGACCCCGUGGAGCUUUACUGUAGCCUGAUAUUGAAAUUCGGCACAGCUUGUACAGGAUAGGUAGGAGCCUUUGAAACGUGAGCGCUAGCUUACGUGGAGGCGCUGGUGGGAUACUACCCUAGCUGUGUUGGCUUUCUAACCCGCACCACUUAUCGUGGUGGGAGACAGUGUCAGGCGGGCAGUUUGACUGGGGCGGUCGCCUCCUAAAAGGUAACGGAGGCGCUCAAAGGUUCCCUCAGAAUGGUUGGAAAUCAUUCAUAGAGUGUAAAGGCAUAAGGGAGCUUGACUGCGAGACCUACAAGUCGAGCAGGGUCGAAAGACGGACUUAGUGAUCCGGUGGUUCCGCAUGGAAGGGCCAUCGCUCAACGGAUAAAAGCUACCCCGGGGAUAACAGGCUUAUCUCCCCCAAGAGUUCACAUCGACGGGGAGGUUUGGCACCUCGAUGUCGGCUCAUCGCAUCCUGGGGCUGUAGUCGGUCCCAAGGGUUGGGCUGUUCGCCCAUUAAAGCGGUACGCGAGCUGGGUUCAGAACGUCGUGAGACAGUUCGGUCCCUAUCCGUCGUGGGCGUAGGAAAUUUGAGAGGAGCUGUCCUUAGUACGAGAGGACCGGGAUGGACAUACCUCUGGUGUACCAGUUGUCGUGCCAACGGCAUAGCUGGGUAGCUAUGUGUGGACGGGAUAAGUGCUGAAAGCAUCUAAGCAUGAAGCCCCCCUCAAGAUGAGAUUUCCCAACUUCGGUUAUAAGAUCCCUCAAAGAUGAUGAGGUUAAUAGGUUCGAGGUGGAAGCAUGGUGACAUGUGGAGCUGACGAAUACUAAUCGAUCGAAGACUUAAUCAA
rnacentral:rRNA from 1 species